AUUUCUAAAUCGCUUAAACCAUAUGGUGCGGGGGACCCGUUAUUGGGAUUGUUUACAAUCCAAGGGGUGAAUCCUUUUAAAAAGGUAGGGCUACUCUUAGGUCCGAAUCCGACAGCUAACCUCGUAAGCGUUAUAUGAGAAGGAAG
rnacentral:sRNA from 2 species